AUUGAACGCUGGCGGCAGGCUUAACACAUGCAAGUCGAGCGGAGAGAGGUAGCUUGCUACUGAUCUUAGCGGCGGACGGGUGAGUAAUGCUUAGGAAUCUGCCUAUUAGUGGGGGACAACAUUUCGAAAGGAAUGCUAAUAACGCAUACGUCCUACGGGAGAAAGCAGGGGAUCUUCGGACCUUGCGCUAAUAGAUGAGCCUAAGUCGGAUUAGCUAGUUGGUGGGGUAAAGGCCUACCAAGGCGACGAUCUGUAGCGGGUCUGAGAGGAUGGUCCGCCACACUGGGACUGAGACACGGCCCAGACUCCUACGGGAGGCAGCAGUGGGGAAUAUUGGACAAUGGGCGCAAGCCUGAUCCAGCCAUGCCGCGUGUGUGAAGAAGGCCUUAUGGUUGUAAAGCACUUUAAGCGAGGAGGAGGCUACUUUAGUUAAUACCUAGAGAUAGUGGACGUUACUCGCAGAAUAAGCACCGGCUAACUCUGUGCCAGCAGCCGCAGUAAAAC
rnacentral:rRNA from 1 species